AUUGAACGCUGGCGGCAGGCCUAACACAUGCAAGUCGAACGGUAACAGGAAACAGCUUGCUGUUUCGCUGACGAGUGGCGGACGGGUGAGUAAUGUCUGGGAAACUGCCUGAUGGAGGGGGAUAACUACUGGAAACGGUAGCUAAUACCGCAUAACGUCGCAAGACCAAAGAGGGGGACCCUCGGGCCUCUUGCCAUCGGAUGUGCCCAGAUGGGAUUAGCUUGUUGGUGGGGUAACGGCUCACCAAGGCGACGAUCCCUAGCUGGUCUGAGAGGAUGACCAGCCACACUGGAACUGAGACACGGUCCAGACUCCUACGGGAGGCAGCAGUGGGGAAUAUUGCACAAUGGGCGCAAGCCUGAUGCAGCCAUGCCGCGUGUAUGAAGAAGGCCUUCGGGUUGUAAAGUACUUUCAGCGGGGAGGAAGGGAGUAAAGUUAAUACCUUUGCUCAUUGACGUUACCCGCAGAAGAAGCACCGGCGAACUCCGU
rnacentral:rRNA from 1 species